GUGGGGAAUCUUGCGCAAUGGGCGAAAGCCUGACGCAGCCAUGCCGCGUGAAUGAUGAAGGUCUUAGGAUUGUAAAAUUCUUUCACCGGGGACGAUAAUGACGGUACCCGGAGAAGAAGCCCCGGCUAACUUCGUGCCAGCAGCCGCGGUAAUACGAAGGUGGCUAGCGUUGCUCGGAAUUACUGGGCGUAAAGGGAGCGUAGGCGGAUAGUUUAGUCAGAGGUGAAGGCCCAGGGCUCAACCUUGGAAUUGCCUUUGAUACUGGCUAUCUUGAGUAUGGAAGAGGUAUGUGGAACUCCGAGUGUAGAGGUGAAAUUCGUAGAUAUUCGGAAGAACACCAGUGGCGAAGGCGACAUACUGGUCCAUUACUGACGCUGAGGCUCGAAAGCGUGGGGAGCAAACAGGAUUAGAAACCCGGGUAGUCC
rnacentral:rRNA from 1 species